rnacentral:lncRNA from 1 species
CUAUUUCCAGCCCUUUAACAAUGGAACAUCAAAAAUAUCACCUAUAUCCCUCAGCAAAUAUAGAAGACUGUAUUUUUACUAUGAUAUCCACUUUUCCAGAAUUGUGAUUAUAAUAUGCAAAGAGUCAUAAAUAUGCCAUUUACAAUAAGGAGGAGGCGAGGCAAAUGCAUAGAUGUACAAAUAUAUGUACAACAGAUUUUGCCAAGACAUGAAGAUAGCAACUCAACAAAUACUGUAGUUAAGAGAUGAACUCGUCACUUGUAUGGGAACCACAUUUCACUCUUUGUUUUCAGGAUGUAACAGCACUUCACCUAAAUAUUCUUUGAGCCAUAUCACUGGUAACAUUUCUACUAAACCUCUCUGUAACACUUAA